rnacentral:rRNA from 1 species
AGAGUUUGAUCAUGGCUCAGGAUGAACGCUAGCUACAGGCUUAACACAUGCAAGUCGAGGGGCAGCAUUGGGGUAGCAAUACUCAGAUGGCGACCGGCGCACGGGUGAGUAACACGUAUCCAACCUGCCGCUUACUCGGGGAUAGCCUUUCGAAAGAAAGAUUAAUACCCGAUGGUAUAAAGAGUUCGCAUGUUCUCUUUAUUAAAGAAUUUCGGUAAGCGAUGGGGAUGCGUUCCAUUAGAUAGUUGGCGGGUAACGGCCCACCAAGUCUACGAUGGAUAGGGGUUCUGAGAGGAAGGUCCCCCACAUUGGAACUGAGACACGGUCCAAACUCCUACGGGAGGCAGCAGUGAGGAAUAUUGGUCAAUGGACGAGAGUCUGAACCAGCCAAGUAGCGUGAAGGAUGACUGCCCUAUGGGUUGUAAACUUCUUUUAUAAGGGAAUAAAGUGAGGGACGUGUCCCUUUUUGUAUGUACCUUAUGAAUAAGGAUCGGCUAACUCCGUGCCAGCAGCUGC